AAAUUGGUAGGAAGUAUUUAAAGAUGUUGAGCUUACUGGUAGACAUAAAAUCCUAUCAAUAAAUCCUUAUCAGGCAAAGUUGUCCUAAUCACUUUUGUCUGUAUGAUACAAUCUGGAAAGAACUGUAUUCCAAUAGGCCUUUUCGAGAUAAGGCUGGUCUUAAAAAUUUUCCCGUCUGUGGCCUUGAAAUAUUCGUUAUGCUGGGCCCAAGCCUCAGGAGGCAGGAUGGCUAGAUUCAUCAUAGACUUGUGAGCACCAGUGUCUAAAAAUCCAAUGACCUUAAUGGGUCGGUCAUACUUGUUGGGCCAGAUUUGAAGAUUUACCAAUAGAGUGGUGAUAGAGCCAGUAGAAUGGAUGACUCGUGGAGUUUGGAUAUUCUGGGUCAGAUAGGAGGAAUAGUGUUCUUCACUAUUUGAGGCUGAAGAGCUGGACUCUUCAUCUCCUAUGAAAUCUACAGAUAUUUCUUGAUCUGGGCUUAAAGCAAAAACAGUAUCAUCAUCUGGCUCUUCUUGUUCAAAGAACAGGGACUCAACAUCUUCAUCAUCAUUUAA
rnacentral:misc_RNA from 1 species